GACGAACGCUAACGGCGUGCUUAACACAUGCAAGUCGAACGAUAAGGCCCCUUCAGAAAUACACGAGCAACGAACGGGUGAGUAACACGUAAGCAAUCUGCCCAUCACAUCGGGAUAACUCCGAGAAACCGAAGCUAAUACCGAAUACGACCACUUCAGGCAUCUGACGGUAAUGGAAAGUUCCGGCAAUGAUGGAUGAGCUCGCGGCCUAUCAGCUUGUUAGUGGAGUAACAACCCACCAAGGCUUCGACAAAUAGCCAGCCUGAGAAAAUGACCAACCACACUAAAACUGAGACACGGCCCAAACUCCUACAAAAAACAGCAAUAAAGAAUAUUGGACAAUAAGCGAAAGCCUGAUCCAGCAACGCCACGUGAAAAAUAACAGCCUUCAGGUUGUAAACCUCUUUCAACAAAAACAAAGCGCAAAUGACAAUACCUGCAGAAAAAGCACCAGCCAACUACAUGCCAGCCGCCGCCGUAAGAC
rnacentral:rRNA from 1 species